GAUGAACGCUAGCGGGAGGCUUAACACAUGCAAGUCGAGGGGCAUCACGAGGUAGCAAUACUUUGGUGGCGACCGGCGCACGGGUGAGUAACACGUAUGCAACCUACCCUGUACAGGGGGAUAACCCGGAGAAAUUCGGACUAAUAUCCCAUGAUGAUAUUGAGGGGCAUCCUUUAAUAUUUAAAGCUCAGGCGGUACGGGAUGGGCAUGCGGAACAUUAGCUAGCUGGCAGGGUAACGGCCUACCAAGGCUACGAUGUUUAGGGGACCUGAGAGGGUUAUCCCCCACACUGGUACUGAGACACGGACCAGACUCCUACGGGAGGCAGCAGUGAGGAAUAUUGGUCAAUGGGCGCAAGCCUGAACCAGCCAUCCCGCGUGAAGGAAGAAGGCGCUAUGCGUUGUAAACUUCUUUUCCAGGGGGUGAAUAAUUCCGAUGUAUCGGGAGAUGACGGUACCCUGGGAAUAAGCAUCGGCUAACUCCGUGCCAGCCGCCGCAGUAA
rnacentral:rRNA from 1 species